GGAGCUUGCUCUUGUGGAUCAGUGGCGAACGGGUGAGUAACACGUGAGCAACCUGCCCCUGACUCUGGGAUAAGCGCUGGAAACGGCGUCUAAUACUGGAUAUGUGACGUGACCGCAUGGUCUGCGUUUGGAAAGAUUUUUCGGUUGGGGAUGGGCUCGCGGCCUAUCAGCUUGUUGGUGAGGUAAUGGCUCACCAAGGCGUCGACGGGUAGCCGGCCUGAGAGGGUGACCGGCCACACUGGGACUGAGACACGGCCCAGACUCCUACGGGAGGCAGCAGUGGGGAAUAUUGCACAAUGGGCGAAAGCCUGAUGCAGCAACGCCGCGUGAGGGAUGACGGCCUUCGGGUUGUAAACCUCUUUUAGCAGGGAAGAAGCGAAAGUGACGGUACCUGCAGAAAAAGCGCCGGCUAACUACGUGCCAGCAGCCGCGGUAAUACGUAGGGCGCAAGCGUUAUCCGGAAUUAUUGGGCGUAAAGAGCUCGUAGGCGGUUUGUCGCGUCUGCUGUGAAAUCCCGAGGCUCAACCUCGGGCCUGCAGUGGGUACGGGCAGACUAGAGUGCGGUAGGGGAGAUUGGAA
rnacentral:rRNA from 1 species